UUGAAUUUUUAACUUGAUGAUGAUUCACCACAAAAUCUGAUGCAAUCUUUUGAUGUAUCUAUGAAAUUUAUAAUAAGUCUACAAAUAAAAAAAGGUAAUUCUAAUUUUCCUUAACAUUGUAUCCACUGAUAAGCAACCACGAUUGUUAUUAGUAACGUUCUACUCUUUUCGCAGAUUAAAGAAGGUUCUUAAAGGAAUGAUUUAAGAGGAACACACCCGGUGUGGUAUUUAAACGACGAAGGAUUCCCCCUUUUCGUAUAUAGGUGUUCACUUGUGCGCCAGCCACGUUGAAAAGUGUUUUCCGCAUUAUGAAGAUACGAGGUUAUAUUAUUACGGAGUUGCGAGCAGACGCCCAAGCGCGCAACACUUUCCGCCUUGCGAGAGCUAAUUAAGCGCGCCUUGAUGUAAUAACGACCUAAAUGCAGAUGGAGAGACUCUUAUUCCGAAAAUUAAGUGCACUAAGGUCGACCCAAUGAAAAUCACCGAUGGACUAUCCUUUACCCCUUCGUCUUUCUUCGCUUAGAACUUUGCUAAUGACUUCAGAUGAUUAUUAUGGAAACGCUUGUAGGAACAAAGUCAAAUACCAAAGUUGCAAAUCGUUACAUUCGAGAUGGUCGAAGCGGACGGUCUUAAUUAUAACGUCUCAAGUAACGAGGGUUGGCAUGGGUCGCGACGUUAAUAUAUGAGUAAGAGAACCUAAACACAGCCGUGCCAUUGUAUGUACCGCGUUGUUGGAUCUGCCAAGGCAUUAAUAGUCUCACGUGACGUAAUUAACUCGCGACCACCGAAUUUCCGGCGUUAUAACGUGAUGUAUACUGUGGCGAAGAGGGUGUGCAUGCUCUCUUUCUCUCUAAAUCUACCUUUAUCUAACUCCGUUGUUUUGUUUCAGAAGAUCGAAAAUUUCACUAGCGAUUAUGAAUCAAGUAGGAUUCGUACGGCCACCUGUCGCUCGAAAUACUGAUCGAUGUUAUCCAGGUUGAUCCUAACGGUAUAACAAUGGAAGACUUAAGCCUUAUGGACUACACGUGAACGUUUUACAAAAGAUACGAAAAUACGAGCAUGUGGUAAAUGGUAUAAAUAUUUUGUAUUUAUUAGUUUCAACAAAAUGACGAUUUAAUAUCUCACAUAAAUUUAUUCUAUGAACAAAGAUCAUUUUAAAGAUAAAUGUGUAUUUAUUUAUGUAUGCGUAAACGCAUAUUGUAUGCAGGUAGUAUAUUGUAUGUAUAGGCAUGAGACAAGUCUUUCAAGAGAUAUUGACUAAUAUUUAUUUCUCUCGAUUGCUACUUUUUACGAAAAAUUAAUUGAAGCAGCAGCUGCUACAGAUGA